CUGAGAUUAGCUCAGUUGGUUAGAGCAUGGCACUAAUAAUGCCAAGGUUUGAUCUGUGUGUGGGCCAUUCACUUCAGGGCUGGACUUGAUGAUGCUUGUGGGUCACCUCCAACUCAGA
rnacentral:tRNA from 1 species